GAUGAAGAACGUAGCGAAAUGCGAUAAGUGGUGUGAAUUGCAGAAUUCAGUGAAUCAUCGAAUCUUUGAACGCACAUUGCGCCCUUCGGUAUCCCGAGGGGCAUGCCUGUUCGAGCGUCAUUUCACCACUCAAGCCUGGCUUGGUGUUGGGCGACGUCCCCUUUGGGGACGCGCCUCGAAACGCUCGGCGGCGUGGCACCGGCUUUAAGCGUAGCAGAAUCUUUCGCUUUGGAAGUCGGGGCCCCGUCUGCCGGAAGACCUACUCGCAAGGUUGACCUCGGAUCAGGCAGGGAUACCCGCUGAACUUAAGCAUAUCAAUAAGCGGAGGA
rnacentral:misc_RNA from 1 species